ensembl:miRNA mdo-mir-28 mdo-mir-28
GGUGCUUCCGUGCUGGGGAUGCCAGGAGAGGCAAAAAUGGUCCUUGCCCUCAAGGAGCUCACAGUCGAAUGGAGAGAACAUGCCA